rnacentral:rRNA from 1 species
CCUACGGGUGGCAGCAGUCGAGAAUCAUUCACAAUGGGGGAAACCCUGAUGGUGCGACGCCGCGUGGGGGAAUGAAGGUCUUCGGAUUGUAAACCCCUGUCAUGUGGGAGCAAAUUAAAAAGAUAGUACCACAAGAGGAAGAGACGGCUAACUCUGUGCCAGCAGCCGCGGUAAUACAGAGGAUGCGAGCGUUAUCCGGAUUUAUUGGGUUUAAAGGGUGCGCAGGCGGCCUGUUAAGUCAGCGGUAAAAGCCCGGGGCUCAACCCCGGCGAGCCGUUGAAACUGGCGGGCUGGAGUUGGAGAGAAGUACGCGGAAUGCGCGGUGUAGCGGUGAAAUGCUUAGAUAUCGCGCAGAACCCCGAUUGCGAAGGCAGCGUACCGGCUCCACACUGACGCUGAGGCACGAAAGCGUGGGUAUCGAACAGGAUUAGAUACCCUGGUAGUC